GAUUGACGUUAACUACAGAAGAAGCACCGGCUAACUCCGUGCCAGCAGCCGCGGUAAUACGGAGGGUGCGAGCGUUAAUCGGAAUAACUGGGCGUAAAGGGCACGCAGGCGGUGACUUAAGUGAGGUGUGAAAGCCCCGGGCUUAACCUGGGAAUUGCAUUUCAUACUGGGUCGCUAGAGUACUUUAGGGAGGGGUAGAAUUCCACGUGUAGCGGUGAAAUGCGUAGAGAUGUGGAGGAAUACCGAAGGCGAAGGCAGCCCCUUGGGAAUGUACUGACGCUCAUGUGCGAAAGCGUGGGGAGCAAACAGGAUUAGAUACCCUGGUAGUCCACGCUGUAAACGAUGUCGAUUUGGGGGUUGAGCUUUAAGCUUGGCGCCCGUAGCUAACGUGAUAAAUCGACCGCCUGGGGAGUACGGCCGCAAGGUUAAAACUCAAAUGAAUUGACGGGGCCCGCACAAG
rnacentral:rRNA from 1 species